rnacentral:rRNA from 1 species
AUUGAACGCUGGCGGCAUGCCUUACACAUGCAAGUCGAACGGCAGCGCGGGAGCAAUCCUGGCGGCGAGUGGCGAACGGGUGAGUAAUAUAUCGGAACGUGCCCAGUAGUGGGGGAUAGCCCGGCGAAAGCCGGAUUAAUACCGCAUGAGACCUGAGGGUGAAAGCGGGGGAUCGCAAGACCUCGCGCUAUUGGAGCGGCCGAUAUCAGAUUAGCUAGUUGGUGGGGUAAAGGCCUACCAAGGCAACGAUCUGUAGUUGGUCUGAGAGGACGACCAGCCACACUGGGACUGAGACACGGCCCAGACUCCUACGGGAGGCAGCAGUGGGGAAUUUUGGACAAUGGGCGCAAGCCUGAUCCAGCAAUGCCGCGUGCAGGAAGAAGGCC